CAGGAGCUGCUCGCGCGCGGAGGCGUGGCCUGGGCGCAGCUGGCCGGAAGCCCCGCGUGCCAGGCUGAUGGCACUCCAAAGUCCCAGCCUCUGGGAGGGACGGUGGGCCCCGAGUCAUCCUCUUCGCGUGGUUUGCAUGUGUCAGACAUUUCAGGGGAAUCUUAACACAAAGAACAACCGUCUACGUUCAGAAACAAAUGAUACGGAGAAACAAUUACUCACCAUACGCAAGCUAUUUGUUCGGGCCUCCCAAGAAUUUCUGCUGAUGUUACUUCCCACACCGCUCCAGAACAUGUCAGAUCCUAUUAAUGGAAAAACAAGAAACAUAAGGCAGCAAAUUACUACUGAAAUGGACAACAUUCUGAAGCUGGUAUUACCAAGAUUAGCAAGUUCCUAUAACAAAACAAGCCCUUGGGGAUGAUAAUGAUUGAGCAAGGUAUCUGGAUACUAGGAGCACUUAGUCCUAAAGGCUUUAAUAGUCAGCAUGCAUCAGUCUGAAUGGAAGGGGCUAAACCACAUGAUAUUACAGAAGGCCAGAAUUUCCAGAAGCUAGUUACCAUACCAGCAUGUGUGAUCAGAGCUGUGCUAUUACCUGUUGUAUACCACUCAAUGGGAAAUGGACUUACCAUGAAGUCUUUCAUCAUUUUUAGAGAAAAAGAAAAAUCUAGUGGUCUCUUUUUCAGGUACUGAUGCUUCUCUGAAAAGGGGAGGGAGAA